rnacentral:pre_miRNA from 1 species
AAUAAACCAAUUUUCCACUUUUUACCUAUAAUUUUUAACUCUUCUUCUUAUUCAAAAUUUUUUUACGAUUGAUAUUUUUUUAUUAGAUGAUAAAUCAUGGAUAGUACUAUACGUGUGACUAAUUUUUUUUCUAAUUUUUAAAAAAAUUUUCAAAUAAGACGGACGGUCAAACGUUAGACACGAAAACCGGAGAAUUGAUU